AGGAAAGCAUGUUCGGCGACAGCGAACACAAUGAAACAACAACUGCGCCGAUGUUAUUUUAUGACAACCAACCGGUUCCCGAAUCCACUCCUAUCGCGGAGCCCUUGUCGUAUUCUGGAGACUUUUUCUUGGCCUUCCAAGCCGGCUACACUCCAGUCCACGGCUACCUGGCUACGUUGCGCAGAUUAGCACAGCGAUGCUACACAGAUUGCCGAUAAUCCCGGUACCGGGAUUAUCGGCAAUCUCUUGAGCAUCGCUGUGCUCACGCGCCGAUCUCCGUUAACGCCGAUAGCGGUUCUCCUGACGUCCCUGCUCGCGACGCAUGCGCUGGUACUGAUGACCUAUAUUCCCUUUGUCCUCCAUCAUUACAUCUUGAGAACGUUCUUGCCCCUCUCCCAAUGGCGAAGUUUUCGCGGAUGGCGUUUAAAUUUUUAAGUAUGCACUUUACUAUCGUUUGCGAUUCAACGGCCGCCUGGCUGACCGUCGCCCUGGCGGUGUUCCGCUGUUGGACGGUGAUGUUACCCAGAACGGCGGCUAGGUUCUGCAAGAUGCCGCUGACGUGUAUCAUUAUCGUGGCGAUCGGGAUAUGUAACAUUAUUUUCUGGCCGCCGUCGUAUUAAAGUGUACAGAUCGAUAUAUUUAAGCAUGAUGCGCCGGAAUUCAUGGAUGCAACAAGGGGCAACGUGGCGCCGAUGUACCGUAUUGACGAAUCAGAUCUGUCGCGCAAAAAUCACAACAACCUACGGAUUAUUACGUUGUAUGCUUCAGUUGCGGCCAAACUGUUCCCAUGUUUCCUUCUGCUCCGCCUCAGGUAAAGUAAACUGAAAGGCUUUUUUAGCCGUUUUCCAUCUACAUUUACCGAGAUUUUUAAAAUAAAUCGAAUUAUUUUACCUACGUCAACUUGGUUGUUUACAUUUUUUAUGACAAUAUGCCGGUUUUUAUACUUUCAUCUGUGAGUACUUUUGUGAAACUGGCAAUAAUUUGACUACACUUCGAUUAUGUUAUGCAUUUUAAAAUUCACGCUUUUUAAUGCCUUUUGCUUACUGGUACUGUAUUUAUUUUUUAAAUUCGAUUCGUAUCAACAUAUAAUAUGAUAUUAGAUGCCGUAUGCAUAUUCCGUACAUGCGUGUGCUACCACUAAAUAAGUACUAGCGUUCCCUUGGUAAUCGCCCUGCUUCGACCCGAACGCGGAAAUCCGGUAACAUUCUCCGACGAUGUAAAUUUACCCUGCUACUCCACGGUACUGUACGCGGCGCCGUCAACCGCUUAGGAGACGCACCACCCGGAGAACAACGCCACCGAGAUGAAAAUCGUCCCAACCACACCCGUCGCUCCACCAGCGCUGCCGUCAACUGGCCAGGACCGUCGCAAGUCAACGGGACGAGAUUGGAUGACGGCUGUGGUGCUGAUCAUCGCCGUAGUCUUCAUCCUUACCGACGGUACGGUGGGAUUACUGGCGCUGUUCACUUGUUUCUCCGUGGACUUCUUCGGCAAUGUCUACGUACCACUUGGCGAUCUGUUGGAUGCGCUGCAGUUAAUCAAAGGUGCCGUGCUUCUGAUCAUCUUGUUCUCCCUGGGCUGGGAGUUUCGGCGGACGUUUCCUCAGAUGCUGUGCACCAAAGACAUUAGUCAGCGGCGGAUGGAAUAGCGCAGGGCGGAUGUUGUAACCUGAAUUAAUAUAACUGCUUGUUCAGAAUCUCAUAAUACUCGUAUGUUCAGUUACUGUAUUACGUAAUUUGAGGCGGUUU